rnacentral:lncRNA from 1 species
GCUAAGUAUCCUUUGUUGAGCUCUCUUCUAGAGUUUUUGGGACUGAUAGUGUCACCACAAGUGGCUAAUUCGCGUAAAAAUGGUGUGCAGUCUUUUGUAGUUAGAAGCGUUGAUGGGAAUAGCUCUGAAACACCGGCUUCUCUAAGCUAUACAGCUGAGGUUUCAAAACCUAUUGUUGAGAAAACAUCUAAACCGUAUUCCUCUGUGGAUGAAACUGCUACCGAUAAAGAUAUUAUCACAGAGCCAGUAGAAGAACAUGUUGCCACACAACCAAUAAGAGCAGCAAAGAUCCACGAUUUCUGUUUUGGCAUUCCUUAUGGUACUACUUUGUGACUCUCAAGCUUAAUUUCAAAUCUUAGCAUUUCUAGGCUGCUUUUUUAGAAAAGAAAAUUUCUGCUUUCCAUGUUCUUCAUUUCCCGUAUGAGAGUGUUUAUUGUCUGGUAACUCGCUGGUGUUAAUUAUGCCUCAUAAAUGAUACUUUGUCAGGUGGUCUCGUUAUCAGUGGAGGGCUUCUUGGAUUUGCGUUUUCACGAAAUCUUACGAGCUUAAGUACUGGUGUCCUCUAUGGUGGUGGGCUUCUAGCCCUUAGUACAUUGAGCUUAAAGAUUUGGCGACAGGGAAAGUCUAGUUUCCCUUAUAUACUAGGACAAGCAGGUAAUCUUCAUUUAUUGUCUGCAGGAACAAUAGCGGAUGUUUUCUUAUCACUGCUUUCAUUUGUAAUUCAUUUCAUCAAAAGAUUACUGGUAUCUUACUCAUGAUAAGUGGAUAUGAAAAUCCAGAUAAGUAGUUGUAGUAUACUGUGUCAUGCUAUGAAGUGGUCAUCUCUGAACCAAGAUCAUUAUCUGCCCAUGAUUCGCUAUAAGAAGUGUUCCUUUGAUCUAUGAAAGCAUUCGUACUUACUCAUUUUUCAAAACCUGAAAUUGCAGUGCUGUCAGCUGUCGUCUUCUGGAAGAACUUCACAGCUUAUUCGAUGGUAUUCAUUAAAUUUGUGAUCAUGCUGAUUGUUUUUUUUUGCUUGCUUGACUUCAACUGAAUAAUGUUGUACUUAUGCAGACUAAGAAGCUGUUUCCGGCCGGUCUUUUUACUGUCAUCAGGUAAGAAAUACUUUUUGUGAUCUACAAAAGACUCUGAUGAUCUUUCGUUGAUUCAUGUAACUGUGUGUUUACGUCUUUUUAUUUUGCAGUGCUUGCAUGUUGUGUUUCUAUACAUAUGUGGUGCUCUCUGGAGGAAACCCACCUCCAAAGAAAUUGAAACCAUCUGCUACUAGUCCUUCAUACUGAAGAGACUUCACAUAGGUUAGAUUUUAAAACAUGGAGAUCUUCUCUUUUGAUUACUAUGUGUUGGAUUAUUACUGGUGUAAUUUUAUACUCUUUACGAAUUGAUAUACUUGUUUUGUUUGUGACCUGUUCUUUCCAGUGUCAUAAUCUAAAGUUUUGUUUUUCUUACUUGUGAGAUGUGUAUGCUUUGAUUGUCCAUAUUCUAGUCUAGUAUAAUACUAAUGAAAAAAAAAAAAAAGAUUAAAAGAAGAGCCAAAUCAUAGUCAAAGGGCAAUAGCAUUUAAGAUUGAAAAAACAACUUGAAAACUAGACUAAAAUAAAAGUAACAUAGAAAAGUUAUUGAUAGCUCAAUCCUGAAACAAUAAUAAGAAAAUAUAUCAAUUUCCAAUGCUUCCAUCAAUUAUACAGUGAGUAAACUUGGGAAAUAAGCGAUAGAAACCCCUCUAUGCUUAAAUUUAAAAGCUAAAUCAUAAGACUUUUGUUCCGGAUCAUGUAUUAUUAAAGUACGGCCAACAAUCUUCCAACUAUGAAGCAAAAUCUUAUUUUUCUGAAAUGUUGCGAUUGUUUGUGUUGGCAAAGUCCGAUGGCGAAACCAAAUGGAAGUUCUAUUCAAAUCAAUAGAAAACGUCUUCUCCCAUUUUUUGCCGGAGUUUAAUGACCAUAUCUCUUGUUUCAUGUCCUUACCCUCUGAUAUACACAAACGGUCCUUCAUGUUGCUUAUAGUAACUGGACCAGCAGUGGUAAAUGGUAUUUUCAUACUCACUUCAAAAGUUUCACUGGAAAGAUUAAAACACACUAUAUGCCUUUUCGAAUUGGUAACUGUGCUUAGCCAAUGAAGUGAUCCAUCUACGUAUGUUGGAUGAUCACAAUAAGCGACUUCAUAGGGAGAACCAGUCACGUUCCUCCAAGUGUUUGUAUUAAAAGAGAAAACCUCGCAUGUGGUUAUGUUGUCUAAAUCCAACUCUUUCGAAUUAUAUAAGUUAUAUAUAUAACCAUACCAACUUAUAUACUCCAUUUUUAUUGUCUCUUCCCAAUCCAAGCAAGGGGUAAGAUAUAUAUUCAUCGUCUGCUAAACCAAAAAAAAAUAGUUUUCAUUUGAAAAAGAGAAAGAAAAAAGAAGCUAAAACCUGAACAAAAGGGCAUACAUGAUACACCCUAAACUCAAAUGUGUACCUAAAUCAAUUCAAAACCAACAAAAACUAAAAUGUUGAAAAAGAAAAUAAUCUAUAUAAAAAAAUUCUAUACAAGAAAAUCCUAAUAUGGAUCUCUAAAUAAAACUUACAGAGUUCCAUGAACAUAAAUUGAUUAAGUGAACUUACCACGUCGAUUUUCCAUAUCUUCAAUAAGAUUUUGAAACCUUGCCAAGGGAAGACUCCGAUACCAUUUUAUCGAAGGAUUGAUCACAUAAAUCCAUUGCGUGAAACUGUAAAUGCAUAUUAGACCAUCGCAACUCUUAGUGACAAUAGCAAACGAACUAUCACAGAAAGGGUAAUAAGAGCGACUCUCCACGAAAACCGAAGACCUCAACGUCAAUGUGUUUACGCAAAUUUCAGUGGGUGCGUUCGAAUAGUUACGAUUAGUCUGCACAAAGAGGAUAUUCGGAUCGUGAGAUCGCUGACUAAUCAUAUGUCUCUCCUUAAAAUAUUGAGACAUCAUCGUUAAUUUCCAUUCUUUUGAUACACAUUUGAAUUUAAACAGAGAUUUAAUCGAAAGCUUCUCUAGAAUCUUUUCCACAAGAUGGUGAGGUAACAUUAUAGUUGGAAAUUUUAACCGAUUUACUUCUCUCUCCCACACCCCAAGUUUAUGUUUAGGGUUUCCUCUCUCUUGAUCUUCCAUUGAUAUAGUUUUUUGUGUUAUGCGCUUGAUGAAACUUAUGUUUGCGUUUUUUUUGGUUAUUAGUCAAACUUAUGCUUGAGUUUAUAUAUACAACAUACAUGAUAUGAAAUCAUGCUGAGUGAAGGAAAAAAUCUAGGAGUAUUUUAUCUUCUAUACAUAUCUUUAUAUAUAUAUUAUUAAAUGAGAAAGUUUAUAUAUUGUUCCAAUCAUCUAAUACCAUAUUAUUUCUUAAUUACUUUAGGAAAAAAAAAAAUUAAAUUCUUAGAUGGAUUAACUUUUUUCAAAAAAAACAAAUGUAUUAACUAAUAAAACAGAAUAGUUUUAUAUUACCUAAAGUUGUACGGGAUAUAGAUUGUGUAUAAGUUUUCUAAUUUCAAAGAGAGAGUUUAUUUUAUAUUUAUAUAGAAAUUUUUAUUUCCUUCUCAUUUUGUAAGAAAAAAAAUCUGAAAUUUAUAUUCAUUAUAUAUAUAAGGAAAAUACAGAUAUACAUACUUUGUUUGUCACUUAAAAACCAAAGCUAAAGGCAACACAAUUCUUGAUGAUCCAAUUCAAAACAAUUUUAACCAAUGCAAUAGCAAAAUGGAAGAGUAAUUUGCAGCCUGAUUUUGUGCCUCGCCUCUUACUCAUUCGACACUUGAACCUGCUAAAUACCAGAGGACAUGCAAUGUACCAAUUCCGAAUUGAUACCUUUUCUUAAUUACAUUUCCUAAAUUAUGGUUUAUUUAAUUUUCGUAAGUCUUGAUUAGGAUCCGAAUUUUUUUAAACCGGGUUUUUAGAUCCGCAUGUUUUUAAACAUAUCUUUUUAUAUCUUUGCAAAUUUAAUACUAAUAUAGAAAAGUUAUUGCUAGCUCAAUGCUGAAACAAUAAUAAGAAAAUAUGUCUAUUUUUAAUGCUUCCAUCCCUUAAACAGUGAGUAAACUUGGGAAAUAAGCGAUAGAAAUCCCUCUAUGCUUGAAUUUAAAAGCUAAACCAUAAGAAUUUUGUUCCGGAUCAUGUACUAUUAAAGUAUGGCCAAUUAUCUUCCAACUAUGAAGCAAAAUCUUAUUUUUCUGAAAUGUUGUGAUUGUUUGUGUUGGCAAAUUCGGAUCGUGGCGAAACCAAAUGGAAGUUCUGUUCAAAUCAAUAGAAUACGUCUUCUCCCAUUUUUUGCCAGAGUUUAAUGACCAUAUCUCUUGUUUCAUGUCCUUCCCCUCUGAUAUACACAAACGGUCCUUCAUGUUGCUUAUAGUAACGUGACCAUCAGUUGUAAAUGGUAUUUUCAUACUCACUUCAAAAGUUUCACUUGAAAGAUCAAAACACACUAUAUGCCUUUUCGAAUUGGUUACUGUGCUUAGCCAAUGAAGUGAUCCAUCUACGUAUGUUGGAUUAUCACAAUAAUCUACUUCAUAGGGAGAACCAGUCACGUUCCUCCAAAUGUUAGAAUUAAAAGAGAAAACCUCGCAUGUGGUUGUGUUGUCUAAUUCCAACACUUUCGAAUUAUAUAACCAUACCAACUUAUAUACUCCAUUUUUAUUGUCUCUUCCCAAUCCAAGCAAGGGGAAAGCUAUACGUCCAUCGGGAGCUAGACAAAAAUAAAAGAGUUGAAACUAAAAAGUUGAAAAACUAACGAUUCAAAACCAACGAAAUUACUAAAAAGUUGAAAAAGAAAUUCAAUAUAAAAAAAUUCUAAACAAGAAAAUCCUAAUAUGGAUCUUCGAAUAAAACUUACUGAGUUCCAUGAACAUAAAUUGAGAAAGUGAACUUACCACGUCGAGUGUCCAAAUGUUCAACAAGAUUUUGAAACCUUGCCAAGGGAAGACUCCGAUACCAUUUUAUCGAAGGAUUGAUCACAUAAAUCCAUCGCAUGAAACCGUACAUGCAUAUUAGACCAUCGCAACUCUUAGUGACUAAAGCAAACGAUUUAUCGCAUAAAGGAUAAUAAGAGCGACUCUUCACGAAAACCGAUGACCUCAACGUCAAUGUGUUUACACAAAUUUUAGCGGGUGCGUUCCAAUAGUUACGAUUUGUCUGGACAAAGAGGAUAUUCGGAUCAUGAGAUCGCUGACUAAACAUCAUCUGUCUCUCCUUAAAAUAUUGAGACAUCAUCGUUAAUUUCCAUUCUUUUGAUACACAUUUGAAUUUAAUGAGAGACUCAACCGGAAGCUUCUCUAGAAUCUUUUCCACAAGAUGGUGAGGUAACAUUAUAGUUGGCCUUUUAACCCCAUUUACUUCUCUCUCCCACACCCCAAGUUUAGGUUUAUGGUUUCCUCUCUCUUGAUCUUCCAUUGAUAUAGUUUUUUUGUUUUGUUAUGCGCUUGAUGAAACUUAUGUUUGCGUUUUUUUUUUUGUUAUUAGUCAAACCUAUGCUUGAGUUUAUAUAUACAACAUACAUGAUUUGGAAUCAUACUGAGUAAAGGAAAUAAUCUAGGAGUGUUUUAUCUUCUAUGCAUAUCUUUAUAUCUAUUAUUAAAUGAGAAAUUUUUUAUGUUUUUCCAAUCAUCUAAUACCAUACUCUGUCUUCAUUACUUUAGAAAAAAAAAUCUAAAUUUCAAUUCUUAUAUGGAUAUAAAUUGUGUAUAAGAUUUUUCUUAUUUCAAAGAGAGAUUUUAUAUUUAUAUGUAGAAAAUUAUAUUUCCUUCUCAUUUUGUAAGGAAAAAAAUCAUAAAAUUUAUACUCUUUGUAGAGAUAUACAUACUUUGCACACAGAGAAAAUACAGAUAUACAUACUUAGUUUGUCACUUAAAAGUAACAAGUGGUGACAAAAUUUUGAAGAAAGAACAAAGAGGACUAUCAUACUUUUCGCAAAAUCUAAUAUAUAUUUUAAGCUUUACAUUAAAUUUAGAGAAAAUGAUUAAAAUAUAAAAAAUAGGAAAAUUGUUCAAAUAUUGAAAGUAUAAUUUGGAGAUUCUAAACUCUAAAUCCCAAAAAAUAAAAUAUUAAAUCUUGACUUUAAAAAUAUUAGUAACCAUCAAAUCUAGUAAAUGACCUAUUUUUAGUUAGAUAUGUAGUUUUCUAAAUAUGAGAUUGCAAUUAUAUAUCUUUCAUUUUUCAUAAUGAUAAGUUCAUAGGGCUUUGACAAAAAAAAAAAAAAAAAAAAAGACAUGAGCGUUCAAAUAUGACUAACAUUUGGUUUUUGAUAAAAAAAAAAUUACAAAAUUUAAUUUGAAAGUAAAAUUUUAGUUUUGCAGUUUUCUCUUAAUUUGGUUUGACAAUUAAUGUCGUAUUAUGUAUUAUUAUUUUUUUAAGUUGAAAAAGUCGUAAAAUGUCUAAUGUUUGUCAUAUUGUAAUGUUAUUUCGAAAAGCUUAUAAUACAUUUUCAUUUGAUAUGCUUCUGAUUCCAUUUCAAAUUUCUUACACCUAAUAGUCAUUUCACAUUUUCUUGUUGUGAAAUAAUAGUCAACUAAUGAGCCCAACAAAUAACUUGAGACUAAUCUGAGCCCAUUUGAAACCUAAACCAACUAAACCGAAAGAAAAAAAGUAAACCGAAAUUUGACCGAACGCCGGCUCCUCCAUCUCUCUCGCUGACCACGCUCCUAUCCGAUAAAUCCAUUCUCCUCCAUUUCUCUAUCCCUCUGACGAUGGCUGCUCAAAGCUCAAAGCUCAAAGCUCAAAGCUCAAAGCUCAAAGCUCAAAGCUCAAAGCUUGUUUUCUCCUCCACCAACGGCCAACCGCUAAUUUCACUACCAGACCCGAUCGUUUAAGUUUCGCCCCAGGUAAACUGCUCGAGUAUAACCUCAAUCAGAGACAUUAGAUUUCUUCUUCUCGAUUUGGCUACGAUGAUGCCCAUUACUCAAUUUUAUGAUUGCUGUCAAAAAGUUAUGAGCUUGAUUGCUUUUAGUCGUCGUACUCGACAUUAGCUUUUGUUUGUUAGAAAUGCUUCUUCUUGGGUUGGAACUUGAAUUGCUUCCCGCCUCCCUGACCCUGGCUGAAUUGGUAGGGAACGUGAAUGAAUUUACCUUACAUUGUGAUAAAAAGUAUUAGAUAGUUCGAUCAUUUUUUUUACCUGUAUACCCAGUUCUCUAGGUGUCUCUGUGUGCUUAGAAUCAUUUGUUGAGCUCUCUUCUAGUUCUUUUGGGACUGAUAGUGUCGCCACAAGUGGCUAAUUCGCUUAAAAAUGGUGCAGUCUUUUGUAGUUAGAAGCGUUGAUGGGAAUAGCUCUGAAACACCGGCUUCUCUAAGCUAUACAGCUGAGGUUUCAAAACCUAUCGUUGAGAAAACAUCAAACCGUAUUCCACUGUGGAUGAAACUGCUACCAAUGAAGAGAUUAUCACAGAGCCAGUAG